GCUUACGGCCACACCAACCUGGCUAUGCCCGAUCUCGUCUGAUCUCGGAAGCUAAGCAGGUUUGGGCCUGUUUAGUACUUGGAUGGGAGACCGCCUGAAAAUACCAGGUGCUGUAAGCU
rnacentral:rRNA from 1 species